UGCCCGAAGGGUGACGAAGCGACGCCGCGUGGGUGAGGAAGGCCUUCGGGUUGUAAAGCCCUGUCAGGAGUUAAGAAAUGUAGACUCGCUAAUAUCGGGUCUAUUUGACAAAGGCUCCAAAGGAAGCCACGGCUAACUCUGUGCCAGCAGCCGCGGUAAUACAGAGGUGGCAAGCGUUGUUCGGAAUUAUUGGGCGUAAAGAGCACGUAGGUGGAUUUGUAAGUCAGACGUGAAAGCCUUCUGUUCAACGGAAGAAUUGCAUCUGAAACUACAAACCUUGAGUGUAGGAGGGGAGAAUGGAACUUCUGGUGGAGCGGUGAAAUGCGUAGAUAUCAGAAGGAACGCCGGCGGCGAAAGCGAUUCUCUGGCCUAUUACUGACACUCAGUGUGCGAAAGCUAGGGGAGCAAACGGGAUUAGAUACCCCGGUAGUCCUAGCCGUAAACGAUGGGCACUAAGUAGAGGGG
rnacentral:rRNA from 1 species